rnacentral:rRNA from 1 species
UACGGAGGGUGCAAGCGUUAAUCGGAAUUACUGGGCGUAAAGCGCACGCAGGUGGCUGAGUCAGUCGAUUGUGAAAGCCCUGGGCUUAACCUGGGAAUUGCAGUCGAUACUACUCAGCUAGAGUAUGGGAGAGGGUAGUGGAAUUCCCGGUGUAGCGGUGAAAUGCGCAGAUAUCGGGAGGAACACCAAUGGCGAAGGCAGCUCGCUGGGACGGUACUGACGCUGAGACGCGAAAGCGUGGGGAGCAAACAGG